UACGUAGGGCGCAAGCGUUGUCCGGAAUUAUUGGGCGUAAAGAGCUCGUAGGCGGUUUGUCGCGUCUGCUGUGAAAACCUAAGGCUCAACCUUGGGCUUGCAGUGGGUACGGGCAGACUAGAGUGCGGUAGGGGUGACUGGAAUUCCUGGUGUAGCGGUGGAAUGCGCAGAUAUCAGGAGGAACACCGAUGGCGAAGGCAGAUCUCUGGGCCGUAACUGACGCUGAGGAGCGAAAGCAUGGGGAGCGAACAGG
rnacentral:rRNA from 1 species